AAAACAGUGCACAUACAGAUUCCUACCAACAUGACCACAUAUAAAAGAAAAAGUGGUUGUGGUGGUUGGAGUAACCUUUUAAAUUCACCUUUAGUGGCGCUCAUAUUGACAGCCACAAGAGGAGCUUUUGCUGCACUAAUUGAGUGAAACUCAGACGUGAUGCAGAAGCCCAUAGGAAAGCAGUGAAUUUAAUGCUUUCCUAUGGAGAAGAUUGAAUGCGUGCUUAUUGUUCGCCACACAUGUGCUUUAGGUCCCCAAUGCUCCUUCAUGCUGAUCGUUAGAUUGGACCGUCACUGAGAGGUCAUGCCUCUUAGAUGGUGUUGUAGGAGACGAGUGGUAUCGAGGGAGCCUCACUUGCAAAAGUGCAGUUUUUAUGAGAAAUUAGAUCGCCAGGGAGGUUUGCUUCCUUCCGUUAGCUCCCCUCUACUCGAGUGUGUAUGCCUUCUCCUUACAUACAUCAGAUCAGCAUUCUUCCUGAACGCUGCUGACGUGCGCGCGCAAAGAGGGACAGAUUCAGAGGCUUCUCAAUAGUUAUUUCACCGUGAUAAGAGUUAAAGUCUUUUCUGGGAAAGAAUUGUAGCUUUUGCAAGCAUGCAUGCAUGUUUUCAUUGGGGGCUUAUUUACAAAAUAGCAAUCCCC